GGCUGGGGCGGCACAUCUGUUAAAUGAUAACGCAGGUGUCCUAAGGUAAGCUCAAUGAGAACAGAAAUCUCAUGUGGACCAAAAGCGGAAGAGCUUGCGCAAGUCGUCAGAGG
rnacentral:ncRNA from 1 species